ACCCCACCCCAAUCCCUCCAGCCGCCGCUGCCCCACCCAUGUUUCUCCUCCACCCCCUCCUCCCUCCUCACCUCCCGGACCAGCCACCGUCGCGCCGCUGGGGUUCGUCCACCGCGGGUUUCCACGGGGAAGGAGAAGCGACGGGGGUAGGCCCCAAGCGGCGCACACUUCAUGGGGAGGCAAGGAACUAGGAGGUGAUGGGGUCGGAUCUUGUGGUGCUAGGUCGGAGCUCGAUCCCUCGCCUCCCGAACCAGCCGUCGCCGCGCUGCUGGGCUUGGGUUUCCAUGGGGAAUCACUACACAGCAGCACGCCUCCCUCCUUCAUCAUCGUCAUCAGAGCCGCCGCACCUCUCCUUCCUCCUCACUCGCACCCCUGCUGCGGCGCGCAUCCCCCCCCUUUCGAUCUAAUUUCAUUCUUGUUUCACAUUUGGUUUGGUUGGCAAGAGACGUUGCCGUGCCGACUGCAGUAGCCAGGGUUGGCGUUGGUGAUGUCUGUAGGUAUUUUCGUCCUCGCCAGUCACACAUUUACUAGGUUAUGGGACUGGAUCUCCCUUUUCUAAGAUUCUUAGCUGAUAAGUAUAUUGUGCAGAAAAGUCUCUACAGAAUGAUGUUGUGCACAUCCAAAUCCAAGCAAUGACCCUUAAAUGGUGCUCAGCCACCAUCCGAUUUCGAGGGAGAAUAGGAGACCCCGACGAAAAUGAGCGUCCUAGCAGCGAACCCAAGGAUGCCGGUGCUCCUGUUCUUCUAUUGGGCUACUCCCCCAAUGGUGAAAAUCCCCUACAGAAUGGUGCUGGAUGUCCUUUUAGAAUCUUUGGGCCUGCCAGUGGCUGAGUAUCGAACCAAAGCAUGCGACCUCUUUGAAGUGCAGCACCAUCCUACCCCCUUUGGCCCUUCCCGUCCAGUUUUGCCUCACCAUAGGAGGAAGACGGGAGCUGCCUACCUGCCUGCUACCCCAAAAGGAUGCGCCACCCAGUCAGCCGAGUGAUGGUAGAUCCAAGUGGAAAUGGCUCUGGCUCACUGGUUUUGGUUCAGUUUGAAGGGCUCUCGGGGCAAAAGAUAAUUGAGUUGUUGAAUCUAAAUAUUAGUCAGUACAAACUUCUAUCUGUAAAGUUUAGAUACAAUUAUGUGUCUUGAAUUAUUUUUAUUUCCUGUUUCUUAUGCUAGGCCUAAGAUAGGUGUAUUUGCUGUUUAGGUUGGUUCUAAACUACAUGUUUCCUAAUUUUAUAGUUUUUUAGCUUUCAGAAAAACUAUAAAAUUAGGAAACAUGUAGUUCAGAAUAAAGAAUGAAAGGCUAAAUUCUUAUUUCAGGAUUACACUCAUGACUUUCAGACUGCUGAACAUAUUUGAUACAUCUUCCACCUCUCCGCUACUACCACCAAGCAUGGAAAGACUGCGGUUGCAGUAGCGACAAUGACUCGUUUCACUCUUUGUCUCAUGAUGAUUGGUUGGCUGCAGGGGCACCGCGAGGAGUGGAGGAUCGAGGUCGUGGGUUGCCAGCUUCAAAUUUUGGUUGAGCACUUCCUCAAUAAUCUUGUUGAGGUGUCUGUUUCCCCUCUUUGUGUCAUGAAUGAUUGUGUUGGCUGUAGGGUCUCCGCAAGGAGUUGAAGGCUGAGGUCAUGGUUGCCAGCUUCAAUUUUUUGCUGAGCAAUUCCUCAAGAGUCUUGCCAAGAUCUGAGGAUGAAGGGAAGAAGAAGAAUUUAACUAAAGAGUUCAAGAAGAUGAAGGUGAAUUUUCUUCCCUUUGUUCUUCUAUUCUGAUGUUAAGAUUUGUGAUGGCUAGAUGAGAUUUGUGGUGAAAAUUUCCCAUUCUUUUAUUUACCUACAGAUCUUGAAUGCACGAUUGAUGAUUUUGCUGGAUAGGUUACAAAUCUAAAUAAUAAACAUUUUUAAGUGAUGUGGUUGGUACACAUGCGAAGCUAAGAAAAUAUAUAGUUUACUCACAGUGUUGUUUGAUCCAUUGUUGUGUGACACGCUCGCUGAUGGUCUGGCAAUGCUGCAUAUACAUCUGAAUGCCAAUGAUAGUAUGGUUUAGAUAGACAAGUUAAUAAUUUCUUUUUCUUCAUCAAGUUUAUGCUUCCAUUGAUCUACAUUUAAUUUAAUUCACAAACCAGACACCCUUUGGAGUAGCCAAUGUGUAUCUCUGAAUCUUGGCACUUGGGUGUUAUAUGUAUUUCAUUGGUUCAUCGCUCACUGUAGCAAUGCACGGGCCAAAGACAAUCGGCAAUAAAAACAAUCUGCUUGCAAGUUCUAUAUUACCAGCGGAGGCUUUGCCAAGAGGAAGGGUAAUUCGUGCAGGGAAUAAACCUUACAUGGUAAUCAAGGGGAACAUGCUUUAUAAGUUGAGCUUUUUGUAAGCUAAGCUAUGUUUUUCAACCCGUUGUUCUUUAGAUAUCUUCCUUUUACAUUUUUUAUAUGCGAUGGUUAGUUGAUCAGGCUGAGUGCUUCUUUGCAGUGCUUGCUUUAUUGGAACAUGUUCAUUUGGCUAAUAAAACAGUACACAUCUCUCUUGAAUUAUGUGCAUCUCCUUUUUAGUUAUUUGAUUUUUUAGUGACUCGCUAAUUGGAAAAUCAGGAUGCUAAAACUUGGCAUAAUGAAUUCUUGAAUUACGUACUUCUUAUUGUGCAUGUCAAACUGAGGACUAAAUAUAUUUUUAGUUGAGCUAUUGUUUUGAGUAUUUCCCUGCAACAACUUAAAUUACUUUUUGCAAAUAAAAUGAGCUAGCAUAUGCUAUACUUGCAAUGGUAAAUUAAUUAUGCAGUUAUGAGGAUUGAGGAAAUUAAUGGUCAGUCAAUCAUUGAGGGUUUGAAAGAGCCAUCAAGGCAACGAUCUCAUUUCAUCUCAUGCACUGAUUUUGUUAUCUUCUUUAUAUGGCAUUUUAUUAAUUAUUUAUAUAUAUUUGCCGUAUUGCUGUUUCUAAAAAUUGCUGUAUCCUUUGUCCCCAUUUCCGUAUCGCCGUAUCUGUGUUGCCGGUGCACCAUAGCAAUUAAUUAUUGAAGAAAAAUGCCCCUUUUCUUGUCCCAUUGCUCGAUAAGCAUGAUCGCAUUUCCACCGAUUGAUUAUAAAUAUGGCCUUUCUUUUGAUUAUUUGGUGGUACUUCUGAUUGGCACUAUGAGGUGCUUCUUCGUCGUGUAGAUUCAUCCUUUACUUAAAUAUUGAUGAUGAUAUGGUUGUAAAUUAGUCUGGUAUAUGCCAAUAGUUGUCUCUCCCAGAAGAAUUUUUGUGAGAAUAGCGUACCUAAAGAGUUGGUUGUUUGUCUGGAUUGAACACCCAGCUAUAAGAAUGGGUUGACAACACCGAUUGACUCUAUUGGCGCUUCUAUGUUGUCUGGCUUCAUCAUUUACUUAUACACUGAUGAUAUUGUUGUCAGCGUGUUGUAAGUACUUUGGGAAACAAGUCUGGUAUAUUACAAUGAUGUAGUCCUGCAGAUCAGUACAGGUCACUGGCUUUAUAUUGUGGUCAGUGUGUUGUAAGUACUUUGGGAAACAAGUUCUGGGGUAAAUUUAUCUGCUUGCUCAUGCAUUUUAAUACUUGAUUGAUGUCUUGAUAAUUUGUGAAGUUCUGUGUACCAUGUGAUAAGCUGCACAUCAGGUUGCAUGGCAGCUUGUUUGUUUCUUUUAGGAUGUGCAUGUACCCAGGUGGAUCAAAUAUAGAUACCAAUCAUAUAUUAUUAUUUUUACUCAUGUGUUUUUCUUGUGCCUCCCAAACAUUUCGAGGGAUUAUAUAUAUCAUUCAGAUGUAUUCAGGCUGGGUUUCUAUGAUCCAAAAAAAUCAUCUGCCAUGGCUUUCUUUUUACAUACAAAACUAAGUGUGGAGCAGUGUAUAACUAUAUAUGUUCAUUGUUUUCUUAUCACAUCGCAUUUGUCGGAGGUGUUGUACUGAUUUGAAGGAAAUGCUUUUAUAUUUCCAAGUUGAUCAACUACACAACUUCUGAUCCUAAAGCCUUUCUUUAAAAGGGGCUGGUCAAUGCAGCUCCAUGUUGUGCUAUCUUGCUAUUGGGCUCUUUUUUCGUUACUUAAAAUGGUCAGAUAUCUCUGAUGUUAAAUUCGUGGUUGAUUGCUUAUAUCCAAAAGAACUAUGUUAGUACACUGAAGCCAAUUUCUACAUUGUUAGUGAAGUUGGCUAAAUAGUUUUUGCGCCACUAAGAUAUAUAUGUGCACUGCAUUCUAACCAUGUAAAUUGUUGUGCUAUUAGUUUAAUCCGGAAUAUAAUUAUGUUAGUAACUCCGCAAUAUAAUUAUGUUAUAUUCUGCUUUUGUCAGUUUGCUGGUCCAUACUAAUUUCCUCGAGCUUAUUUUCACAUCUCGUCAUAUUUACACCUCUCCGCCGACUGCCACCUAUCAUGGAGGGAGAUGGCUUGGCCAGGCCGUCAACACUCAUCGGCAACUUCGGGCAGGCACUGCCCCGUUCUUCCUCCCCUUACUCUGAUGCCUUCAUGGCCAAAAUCAUUAGUAGAAGCAAGAAGGUUAAGCACCGAUUAUGGUUAAAGCUUUGUCUCUUUUGUGUACUAUGCAUGAUUGAUCUGAUUUUGCUGGUUAGCUUACAAAUUCAAGUAAUACGACUAUUGCAAUGCAUAUUACUACGUGUGUAUUUAUUUCCAUUGAUAUUUUCUCCUCCUUAGGCUCCAAAUCGUUUGUGGGUCAUAAAUUAUUGUGCAUUAUUGAUGAUUAAUGUGCAAUUUAAGUGACAACAGGGCUGGGUUUUAUAAGUGCAAUGGCUUGAAAUGUGACCUUCCAGUCAAGAAAUUUCCACAGUGAGAAGCUUAUGUGAAGAAUGAUGUAAUUAAGUUAGCAAUUUACAGUUCUCUUUCAUAAUUGUAACUGAAUUGUCAAUGGCCAGUUUUCUUGAAUAACGAGUUACUCCCUCAAUUUUACAAUAGAGAUAAUUUGUCAAAAUUGUGUUUUUGUAAUGUUUGUGGUCUUCUCUUUUCUUUUUCUUGAUUUGUAUUGUAUAUGCUACUCGCAUAUUUGAACAUGCAUAGGGCCUCUCAGUCUUUAACCCUGA